rnacentral:guide_RNA from 1 species
GGGAGAUAAAAUAAUAAAGGUUUGGUGCGGGGUGUUAAGAUGGGUGG